ensembl:lncRNA
UUCUACUUCCGAGACCUGGGAGCUCAAAUCAGCUGGGUGACCGUGAGUACACACAGGCACACGCAUACCACACACACAGGCACACGCAUACCACACACACAGGCACACGCAUACCACACACACAGGCACACACAGGCACACACACAGGCACACGUGUACCGCACACACACAGGCACACGCAUGGUACCGCACACGCAUACCACACACACAUACCACACACGCAUACCACACACACAGGCACACACACGCAUACCACACACACAGGCACACACGCAUACCGCACACGCAUACCACACACACACGCAUACCACACACGCAUACCACACACGCAUACCACACGCAUACCACACGCAUACCACACACACGCAUACCACACACACGUGUGCACACUAACUUGUGGCUAUUAGUUUCCUCCUAACCUUGGUGUAUAUUACUUUUUGUUGAGAAUCACUAUUAAAGUCCCUGUCACAUUAACUGGGGGAUGAAGAGACGGGAGAGACGUGGG